rnacentral:ncRNA from 1 species
UCACUCUGGAAAGCAGGGCGGGUGUCGACGGCUUCCGCUCUCACCGACGGUGAAAGCCGGGCAGAGCUCCAGGGCUCGCCCGGUGAAGCUCUCAGGUUGAGAUGACAGAGGGGGAGGC